UUGCGAACUGACUCCUGAAAUACGUUUCAUUGAAGAUGAGUCUUUAGAGAGAGGGAGCAGGGUGAUUGCAAUUUUGGACAGGUUAAAGAAUGAGAAGCAGAGUGCAGAAAGACAUGAUGCAGGAGUUUCUGAACCAUCCAAUAAAUCUGAAGAAAAUGGAGACUUGGGCAGUGAUGACCCAGAUGAAGGCAUCAUUUACGUCAAGUAAUCUGCUCGGUUUAUUAGACACUUAUGGAAUUUUUAUGGCUUCACAAUUCAACAGUUGUCUUUCUAUGGGGGAUACAGACGAUCAUGUAUUACUAACACAUUAUAGUGACAAUUUGUGAAUGAAAAUUAUCUUUUAUCUUC